AACGACUUCAAACCCCGGGAUUUUUUAUUUUUUGGGUAGCAGUGCGCGAGCACAGCUCGGAAAUCCCUGCCAGAAAGUAACCACCUGCUGCCUCUCUCCGUCGAGUCCUUAGAUAUGGAGACAGAGUCCGCUAUCUCCCAUCUCGCUGAUGGCUAUCAGCUCUGUGCUGACUGAGGCGAUAGCAACCCGCUGGAGUGAAAGGAUAAAGCUCGGCCCGACAAACCCUGAACGGACUCGCUGGAUCAAUUGGAGGUGACCUACAGUACAACUGGAAACAAGAGUUCACAGAGAUCCAUGUGCGGGUCUGCUGAAAUCAUCUGCACGGAGGCUUGAGAGAUGCAGCCGCCCAGCGAGUCUGUAGAGGGAAACUUCCUGUAACAUCAGC